GAUGAACGCUGGCGGCGUGCCUAAUACAUGCAAGUCGAGCGAACAGACGAGAAGCUUGCUUCUCUGAUGUUAGCGGCGGACGGGUGAGUAACACGUGGAUAACCUACCUAUAAGACUGGGAUAACUUCGGGAAACCGGAGCUAAUACCGGAUAAUAUUUUGAACCGCAUGGUUCAAUAGUAAAAGACGGUUUUGCUGUCACUUAUAGAUGGAUCCGCGCCGCAUUAGCUAGUUGGUAAGGUAACGGCUUACCAAGGCAACGAUGCAUAGCCGACCUGAGAGGGUGAUCGGCCACACUGGAACUGAGACACGGUCCAGACUCCUACGGGAGGCAGCAGUAGGGAAUCUUCCGCAAUGGGCGAAAGCCUGACGGAGCAACGCCGCGUGAGUGAUGAAGGUCUUCGGAUCGUAAAACUCUGUUAUUAGGGAAGAACAAAUGUGUAAGUAACUAUGCACAUCUUGACGGUACCUAAUCAGAAAGCCACGGCUAACUACGUG
rnacentral:rRNA from 1 species